GUCGACGGUAACAGGGAGCUUGCUCCGCUGACGAGUGGCGAACGGGUGAGUAAUAUAUCGGAACGUACCCAAGAGUGGGGGAUAACGUAGCGAAAGUUACGCUAAUACCGCAUACGAUCUAAGGAUGAAAGUGGGGGCUCGCAAGACCUCAUGCUCCUGGAGCGGCCGAUAUCUGAUUAGCUAGUUGGUGAGGUAAAGGCUCACCAAGGCAACGAUCAGUAGCUGGUCUGAGAGGACGACCAGCCACACUGGGACUGAGACACGGCCCAGACUCCUACGGGAGGCAGCAGUGGGGAAUUUUGGACAAUGGGGGCAACCCUGAUCCAGCAAUGCCGCGUGAGUGAAGAAGGCCUUCGGGUUGUAAAGCUCUUUUGUCAGGGAAGAAACGGUUUCGGCUAAUAUCCGGAGCUAAUGACGGUACCUGAAGAAUAAGCACCGGCUAACUACGUGCCAGCAGCCGCGGUAAUACGUAGGGUGCAAGCGUUAAUCGGAAUUACUGGGCGUAAAGCGUGCGCAGGCGGUUUUAUAAGUCUGUCGUGAAAUCCCCGGGCUUAACCUGGGAAUGGCGAUGGAGACUGUAAGGCUAGAGUUUGGCAGAGGGGGGUAGAAUUCCACGUGUAGCAGUGAAAUGCGUAGAGAUGUGGAGGAACACCGAUGGCGAAGGCAGCCCCCUGGGUCAAAACUGACGCUCAUGCACGAAAGCGUGGGGAGCAAACAGGAUUAGAUACCUGGUAGUCCACGCCCUAAACGAUGUCUACUAGUUGUCGGGUCUUAAUUGACUUGGUAACGCAGCUAACGCGUGAAGUAGACCGCCUGGGGAGUACGGUCGCAAGAUUAAAACUCAAAGGAAUUGACGGGGACCCGCACAAGCGGUGGAUGAUGUGGAUUAAUUCGAUGCAACGCGAAAAACCUUACCUACCCUUGACAUGGCAGAAACCUCCGAGAGAUUGGAGGGUGCUCGAAAGAGAAUCUGCACACAGGUGCUGCAUGGCUGUCGUCAGCUCGUGUCGUGAGAUGUUGGGUUAAGUCCCGCAACGAGCGCAACCCUUGUCAUUAGUUGCUACGAAAGAGCACUCUAAUGAGACUGCCGGUGACAAACCGGAGGAAGGUGGGGAUGACGUCAAGUCCUCAUGGCCCUUAUGGGUAGGGCUUCACACGUCAUACAAUGGUACAUACAGAGGGCCGCCAACCCGCGAGGGGGAGCUAAUCCCAGAAAGUGUAUCGUAGUCCGGAUUGUAGUCUGCAACUCGACUGCAUGAAGUUGGAAUCGCUAGUAAUCGCGGAUCAGCAUGUCGCGGUGAAUACGUUCCCGGGUCUUGUACACACCGCCCGUCACACCAUGGGAGCGGGUUUUACCAGAAGUAGGUAGCUUAACCGUAAGGA
rnacentral:rRNA from 1 species